UACGGAGGGUGCGAGCGUUGUUCGGAAUCACGUGGCGUAAAGCGCGUGUAGGCGGCCCAUUAAGUCUGAUGUGAAAGCCCUGGGCUCAACCUAGGAAGUGCACUCGAAACUGCCUCGCUGGAGUGCCGGAGAGGAAAGCGGAAUUCUCGGUGUAGAGGUGAAAUUCGUAGAUAUCGAGAGGAACACCGGUGGCGAAGGCGGCUUUCUGGACGGUUACUGACGCUGAGACGCGAAAGCGUGGGGAGCAAACAGG
rnacentral:rRNA from 1 species